rnacentral:lncRNA from 1 species
AAAGAAACAAGAAACAUAAAACUAAUCAAAAUCCACUACUAUAGAUUCAUAGACAAAGUAAAAUGUGACUGGUGAAAUUUGAGAGGAAACCAAAAGUAUAGGAGGUGUGUAUAAAGCAUAAAACAGUGGCAGCGCUUCUCAUGUACCUGUUAGGCUUUAAUUAGGUCAGUAUGGAAUUAGUUUUCCCCUGUUAAAAAGGAUAAAUCACACGACGCAGAACUGCAUUAACAUUUGGUGAGUGAACAUAGACGCAUUGUGCUCCUACCAGAACAAAAUUGGUGAAAACUUACAAAUCCUUUUCGGGGGAGUUUGAUUUUUCUAUCAACAUUGCAUCCCCUGCAAAGAAUUUGUAAGUUUCCACCAACUAAUGUUGAAACUGCAAGCAAUCUACAGACAAAGAACAAUCAACACACUGUGAAGUACUUUUUUAUCAAAAGGCUGGACGAUUAUUUGAGCAGCAGUAACAGUCAUACUUGUAAUCUUCCAGUAAACUGUGCACAAAGUACAGUUGAAUAAUAG